AUGUGAAAUGAGCGCAAUCAUCCUCUGAUAGAUGUUGAAUCAAGAGUUUGAGUCUGUCUGUGGUGUUUUAGUCACACAAGCUCCUUUGUUUUGCAGACAUCAAGCUGGACCAUCAGCCAAAUCUUCUCAAACAGGUGAUUCUUCACUCCUCUCACUGGAGCAGCUGUUGAAGGUUUCAGAGUCGACUCACCUACGACUCGCUCCAGUUUGAGGGCCUCAACAUCACUGUGGGAGAGCUGAAGCGGCAGAUCAUGAGGCGCGAGAGGCUGAAGUUCUGCCAGCUGAAGAUCAGCAAAGCCCAAACUGAUGAAGAAUACACAGAUGAUGAUGCUCUCAUCCCUAAAAACACAUCGGUCAUCAUCAGACGGGUCCCUGCUGCUGGACUGAAGUCCUCCAACAGAAGAUUUGUUGGACAUCAAGCUGGACCAUCAGCUAAAUCUUCUCAAACAGGUGAUUCUUCACUCCUCUCACUGGAGCAGCUGUUGAAGACUGAGAAUCUGGCUGAGGCAAAGGCAUCAGAGGAGGACAAGCUAAAAGCGGUGAUGUACCAGUCCAGUCUGUGCUACUACUCCAGCAGGUGAGCGUUCAGACACUGACAGGUUUGGUUUGUGAGAAAUGUUAGAGCUGAUUCUCAUGGUUCUGAUGUUCAUCAGUGAGGCCAUGACACUGCUUGGGCUUCUUCCACCCAACUAUGUCUGCUUUCACUGUGGGAUCCCAGGACACCACAUUAGGCACUGCCCCUCUAAAGGGGUAACUGGGUUUUCUAAGCUUAUGGUUGCUGUGAACUUGAGCUCUUGUCUCCAUCAGUCAGAUUGUUUGCUCUGUCGUUUGACUGUCACUCAUGAAUUCACAGGGCAGCAGCUCUGCUCCGCACAAGCGCAUCAGGAGGAGCACAGGGAUUCCACGCAGCUUCCUGUUGGAGGUGGACGACCCAAACCGAAAGGGAGUCAUGAUGGACGGCAGCGGCAAAUACGUCAUUCCCAUCAUAGACGCUGAGGCCUAUGCUGCUGAGAAGAAAAAGAGGCCGUCCUUCUCCUGCCAGACCAAGCCGCUGUCCUCCUCUUCCUCAGCUGGUGCAGCAUCUUCAGUCCAG